rnacentral:rRNA from 1 species
AACGAACGCUGGCGGCAGGCUUAACACAUGCAAGUCGAACGCAUCCUUCGGGGUGAGUGGCAGACGGGUGAGUAACGCGUGGGAACGUGCCCUUCAGUUCGGGAUAACCCAGGGAAACUUGGGCUAAUACCGGAUACGUGCGAGAGCAGAAAGAUUUAUCGCUGAAGGAUCGGCCCGCGUCUGAUUAGCUAGUUGGUGAGGUAAUGGCUCACCAAGGCGACGGUCAGUAGCUGGUCUGAGAGGAUGAUCAGCCACAUUGGGACUGAGACACGGCCCAAACUCCUCCGGGAGGCGGCAGUGGGGAAUAUUUGACAAUGGGCGCACGCUUGGUCCAGCCAUGCCGCGUGAGUGAUGAAGGCCUUAGGGUUGUAAAGCUCUUUCAGUGGGGAGGAUAAUGACGGUACCCGCAGAAGAAGCCCCGGCUAACUUCGUGCCAGCAGCCGCCGUAA